ACCGUGAAGGCCUGAUUAAUGCAGUCUCCUCUGAACAGUUGAUGUUGAGAUGUGUAUGUUACUUGAACUCUGUGAAGCAUUUAUUUGGGCUGCAAUCUGAGGUGCAGUUAACUCUAACAAUCUUAUCCUUUGCAGCAGAGGUAACUCUGGGUCUUCCUUUCCUGUGGCGGUCCUCAUGAGAGCCAGUUUCAUCAUAGCGCUUAAUGGUUCAUGUCUUAAAGUAAUGAUGGACUGUUGUUUCUCUUUGUUUAUUUGAGCUGUUCUUUCCAUAAUAUGGACUUGGUAUUUUACCAAGCAGGGCUAUGUUCUGUAUACCACCCCUACCUUGUCAGCCAAAUAUUUGACAGUGUAAUCCAACCAAUAGCUCUUUACGAAAGUGAAGAUUAUAAACUGGACAUUAAAAUGUGGGACCAACAUCCAAAUGAAGCCCAACAUGCAGAAUUAUGAAACACACCAACUGAUGCAUGUAUGGCAGAAUUAGGCCGCUUUCCAGUGGUAAUGAAAAUACAGAAAAGUUGGGCUACACCAAAAUUCACCAAAAGUCACACCAAAAGUCUCUAAUUUAAAGCACUUCAAUCCCAAAAGCUGAGCCCAGAAACGAGCCCUCUCAAUCAGCUGGUGUUGGACCUAAACAACCAAGCUGACACCAGCACUGCUUCAAAAGAAAGAAUUCAAAACAACAAAAUCAACCAAUCAAAGAACUCAUAUUAACAACAUUGUAAAAACAAAACAAAAUCCCAAAGCCGACUAAAUUGCUAUCUGGCCCGAAACAGAGAAUAUUAAUUGGCUGAUUCUCUCUACUUUGUCAGAGAUACAAAGCAGAGACAGAUCCUUACCAAGUACAGGCUGAGUGACCACCGAUUGGCAAUAGAAACCGGCAGACAUAAAACGACAUGGCUACCCAAAGAGGAGUGUUCAUGUGGUCACUGCACGACAGGGGAGGUAGAAACAGAGAUUAACUUCCUCCUUUACUGUGAGAAAUAUUCUUCACCAAGAGAUUCAUUAUUCACAGAAAUUAAUACAUUUAUUCAAAAUGUUUACUUAUUAAACACAGAGGGGGAAAAAAUACUCAUGCGCGAAGGAGCAAUGGCUCCUCUUGCAGCCAAAUCUGUAUUUGCCUGCCAUAGCCUGAGGGACACUGAAUAAUAACAUCUGAAUUGUAAACAGUAACUUAUUAUUAGUGUAAUUGUUAUUACUAUUAUUAUUAGUGGUAAUAUUGUUAUUUCUAUUAUUGUUAUUAUCUAUUAUUACUAUUGUUGUGAUUAUUAUUCAAAAUAGUAGCGGUACGGCUAGUAGGGGGGGUGGUAGUGAUAGCAGUUUAAUGAUGGUGGUGGUGGUAGUAAUAUUUUAUUUCUACUAUUGACUGUUAGCGUUAUAUUGUUGUUAUUUUUUUAUUAUUUAUUAUUUUAUUAUAGUGUAUAUUUCAUACAGAGAGAGAGAACUAUAGAGAGGCUGAUGGAGAGAGAGAGGUGUGGAAAGAGAGAAGUAUAGAGAGAGAGGCAGAGAAGUAUAGAGGCAGAGAGAGAAGUAUAGAGAGAGAGAGAGAAGUAUAGAGGCAGAGAGAGAGAGAGAAGUAUAGAGAGGCAGAGAGAAAGAGAGAGAAGUGUAAAGAGGCAGAGAAAGAGAGAGAGAGAGAGGCAGAGAAGUAUAGAGGCAGAGAAAGAGAGAGAAGUAUAGAGAGACAGAGAGAGACAGAGACAGAAAGAGUCAUGUGCGCUGCAUUGUAGCCUCAGUUACAGUCAGUACAGAGUCACAGUCGCGCAAUAGCCAGUUGCACUGCAGGUGCUCUACUUGGAGAGAAGAACAACGUCGUUGUAGUGUUGUUCUGCUGUUAUGUAAGCCUGUCUCAAGGUGACCAUGAAUGGCUGGGUGUAUUCAGUCACAGACAUGAGGUGCAUUCAAAAAGGGAAAUACACUGAACAACAAUAUAAACGCAACAUGUAAAGUGCUGGUCCCAUGUUUCAUGAGUUAAAGAAAAAGAUCCCAGAAAUGUUCCAUAUGCUCAAAAAAUGUAUUCCUCUAUAACGUUGCACACAAUUUUGUUUACAUCCUGUUAGUGAGCAUUUUUUCUUUGCCAAGAUAAUCCAUCCACCUGAACAGUGUGGCAUGUCAAGAAGCUGAUUAAACCACAUGAUCAUUACAGAGGUGCAACUUGUGCUGGGGACAAUAAAAGGCCACUCUAAAAUGUGCAGUAUUGUCACUCAAAACAAUGUCACAGAUGUGCAAUUGGCAUGCUGACUGCAGGAAGAGCUGUUGCCAGAUAAUUGAAUGUUAAUUUCUCUAUCUUAAGCCGCCUCCAACUUCAUUUGGUAGUACGUCCAUCCAGCCUCACAACCGCAAACCACAUGUGGUUGAGCGGUUUGCUGGUAUCAAUGUUGUGAACAGAGUGCUCCAUGUUGGCGGCUGGGUUAUGAUAUGGGCAGGUUUACGGUACAGACAACAAACACAAUUGCAUUUUAUCGAUGGCAAUUUGAAAGCACAGAGACACUGUGAAGAGAUCCUAAGGCCCAUUGUCGUGCCAUUCAUCUGACGCCAUCACCUCAGGUUUCAGCAUGAUAAUGCACGGCCCCAUGUCACAAGGAUCUGUACACAAUUCCUGGAAGCUGAAAAUGUCCCAGUUCUUCCAUGGUCUAUAUAAUCACCAGACAUCUCAC
rnacentral:lncRNA from 1 species